rnacentral:rRNA from 1 species
CAGCGCCACGAGUGGUAACCGCGAUUAUUGGGCCUAAAGCGUCCGUAGCCGGUUUGAUAAAUCUUUUGUGAAAUUGUCUGGCUCAACCAUACAACGCGCAAGAGACACUGUCAAACUCGAGACCGGGAGGAGUCAGAAGUAUUCCAGAGGGAGCGGUAAAAUGUUAUAAUCUCUGGAGGACUACCUGUGGCGAAGGCGUCUGACCAGAACGGAUCUGACGGUGAGGGACGAAAGCCAGGGGAGCGAACCGGAUUAGAUACCCGAGUAGUCC